rnacentral:rRNA from 1 species
GAAGAAGGCCUUCGGGUUGUAAAGCUCUUUGUCAGGGAAGAAACACCGGCUCUAACACAGUCCGGGAAUGACGGUACCUGAAGAAUAAGCACCGGCUAACUACGUGCCAGCAGCCGCGGUAAUACGUAGGGUGCGAGCGUUAAUCGGAAUUACUGGGCGUAAAGCGUGCGCAGGCGGUUAUACAAGACAGGCGUGAAAUCCCCGGGCUUAACCUGGGAAUGGCGCCUGUGACUGUAUAGCUAGAGUGUGUCAGAGGGGGGUAGAAUUCCACGUGUAGCAGUGAAAUGCGUAGAUAUGUGGAGGAAUACCAAUGGCGAAGGCAGCCCCCUGGGAUAACACUGACGCUCAUGCACGAAAGCGUGGGGAGCAAACAGGAUUAGAUACCCUGGUAGUCCACGCCCUAAACGAUGCUGACUAGUUGUUCGGGAUUUACAUCCUGAGUAACGUAGCUAACGCGUGAAGUCAGCCGCCUGGGGAGUACGGUCGCAAGAUUA